AGUGAACGCUGGCGGUAGGCCUAACACAUGCAAGUCGAACGGCAGCACAGUAAGAGCUUGCUCUUACGGGUGGCGAGUGGCGGACGGGUGAGGAAUACAUCGGAAUCUACUUUUUCGUGGGGGAUAACGUGGGGAAACUUACGCUAAUACCGCAUACGACCUACGGGUGAAAGCAGGGGAUCUUCGGACCUUGCGCGAUUGAAUGAGCCGAUGUCGGAUUAGCUAGUUGGCGGGGUAAAGGCCCACCAAGGCGACGACCCGUAGCUGGUCUGAGAGGAUGAUCAGCAAAACUGGAACUGAGACACGGUCCAGACUCCUACGGGAGGCAGCAGUGGGGAAUAUUGGACAAUGGGCGCAAGCCUGAUCCAGCCAUACCGCGUGGGUGAAGAAGGCCUUCGGGUUGUAAAGCCCUUUUGUUGGGAAAGAAAAGCAGCAGGUUAAUACCCCGCUGUUCUGACGGUACCAAAAGAAUAAGCACCGGCUAACUUCGU
rnacentral:rRNA from 1 species